rnacentral:rRNA from 1 species
CCGCAAGGCUAAAACUCAAAUGAAUUGACGGGGACCCGCACAAGCGGUGGAGCAUGUGGUUUAAUUCGAUGCAACGCGAAAAACCUUACCUACUCUUGACAUACUUGGAGGCUCUUGUAAUGAGAGCGUGCCUUUUGGAACCAAGAUACAGGUGCUGCAUGGCUGUUGUCAGCUCGUGUCGUGAGAUGUUCCGUUAAGUCGGAUAACGAGCGCAACCCUUACCCUUAUUUGCCAGCGAUUCGGUCGGGAACUAUAAGGGGACUGCCGGUGAUAAACCGGAGGAAGGUGAGGACGACGUCAAGUCAUCAUGGCCCUUACGAGUAGGGCUACACACGUGCUACAAUGGAGAAUACAGACGGACGCUAAGCCGCGAGGUGGUGCUAAUCCUAGAAAGUUCUUCGUAGUCCGGAUUGGAGUCUGCAACUCGACUCCAUGAAGUCGGAAUCGCUAGUAAUCGCGGAUCAGCAUGCCGCGGUGAAUACGUUCUCGGGCCUUGUACACACCGCCCGUCACACCAUGGAAGUGGAUUGCACCAGAAGUAGAUAGUCUAACCUUAGGGAGGGCGUUUACCACGGUGUGCUUCAUGACUGGGGUG